rnacentral:lncRNA from 1 species
UAUUUAACACACCCAAAAAAAAAAAGCUUUCUUCGUUUCAUAAAACUCUUUCAAAGUGUGCAAUUUUAAAUAAAUAAAUAAACCUGUGGAUUGAAGCUCACCAUCGUCAUCAUCAUGACCAGGAAUCAAGAAGAUCGAUCAGCCAGCGGAUCACCAUCAAGGAACAUCAAUAACGGGCGUACGGUGUCCAGAUCGGGCGGCUCUAAGCGAUCUCCACCGUCUCCUGACCAAAUCGAGAAGAGAUCAAGCCUCAGAGAUCAUCAUCAUCAGAACCAGAGACAAAACGGGUUCGAUCAUAACCAUAAUCAACAGCAUCAAAGAGUGAACAGAUCAGAAUCAACGGCUCAGGCGCAUCCAGAGCUGGAGACAAACAACAAUGGAGAGAGAGA